UGGGGAAUAUUGGACAAUGGGCGCAAGCCUGAUCCAGCCAUGCCGCGUGAGUGAUGAAGGCCCUAGGGUUGUAAAGCUCUUUCACCGGUGAAGAUAAUGACGGUAACCGGAGAAGAAGCCCCGGCUAACUUCGUGCCAGCAGCCGCGGUAAUACGAAGGGGGCUAGCGUUGUUCGGAUUUACUGGGCGUAAAGCGCACGUAGGCGGACUUUUAAGUCAGGGGUGAAAUCCCGGGGCUCAACCCCGGAACUGCCUUUGAUACUGGAAGUCUUGAGUAUGGUAGAGGUGGGUGGAAUUCCGAGUGUAGAGGUGAAAGUCGUAGAUAAUCGGAGGAACACCAGUGGCGAAGGCGGCUCACUGGACCAUUACUGACGCUGAGGUGCGAAAGCGUGGGGAGCAAACAGG
rnacentral:rRNA from 1 species